rnacentral:rRNA from 1 species
GAUCCUGGCUCAGGAUGAACGGCUGGCGGCGUGCCUAACACAUGCAAGUCGAGCGAUCUUCUUCGGAAGAGAGUGGCGGACGGGUGAGUAACGCGUGGGUAACCUGCCUGUACACACGGAUAACAUACCGAAAGGUAUGCUAAUACGAGAUAAUAUGCUUUUGUCGCAUGGUAGAAGUAUCAAAGCUCCGGCGGUACAGGAUGGACCCGCGUCUGAUUAGCUAGUUGGUGAGGUAACGGCUUACCAAGGCGACGAUCAGUAGCCGACCUGAGAGGGUGAUCGGCCACAUUGGAACUGAGACACGGUCCAAACUCCUACGGGAGGCAGCAGUGGGGAAUAUUGCACAAUGGGCGAAAGCCUGAUGCAGCAACGCCGCGUGAGCGAUGAAGGCCUUCGGGUCGUAAAGCUCUGUCCUCAAGGAAGAUAAUGACGGUACUUGAGGAGGAAGCCCCGGCUAACUACGUG